rnacentral:rRNA from 1 species
CGGACGACGCGCGGGUCUAAGUCUCUUGGAACGGGGCGUCAUAGAGGGUGAGAAUCCCGUAUGUGACCGGUGACAGAGUCCUUGUGAAACUCCUUCGACGAGUCGAGUUGUUUGGGAAUGCAGCUCAAAAUGGGUGGUAAAUUUCAUCUAAAGCUAAAUACCGGCCAGAGACCGAUAGCGCACAAGUAGAGUGAUCGAAAGAUGAAAAGCACUUUGGAAAGAGAGUCAAAAAGUACGUGAAAUUGUUGAAAGGGAAGCGCUUGCAACCAGACCUGCCCGCGGGUGAUCAGCCGUCCUUCUGGGCGGUGCACUCGCCCGCGAUCAGGCCAGCAUCGGUUCGGGCGGCCGGAUAAAGGCUUCGGGAACGUAGCUUCCUUCGGGGAGUGUUAUAGCCCUUGGUGUAAUGCGGCCAGCCUGGACCGAGGACCGCGCUUCGGCUAGGAUGCUGGCGUAAUGGUUGUAAGCGGCCCGUCUUGAAACACGGACCAAGGAGUCUAACAUCUAUGCGAGUGUUUGGGUGUCAAACCCAUACGCGUAAUGAAAGUGAACGGAGGUGGGAACCCGCAAGGGCGCACCAUCGACCGAUCCAGAUGUCUUCGGAUGGAUUUGAGUACGAGCAUAGCUGUUGGGACCCGAAAGAUGGUGAACUAUGCCUGAAUAGGGUGAAGCCAGAGGAAACUCUGGUGGAGGCUCGCAGCGGUUCUGACGUGCAAAUCGAUCGUCAAAUUUGGGUAUAGGGGCGAAAGACUAAUCGAACCAUC